GCGGGCGUAACUCAGUUGGUAGAGUGCUAGCUUCCCAAGCUGGAUGUCGCCGGUUCGAGUCCGGUCGCCCGCU
rnacentral:tRNA from 2 species